AGUACUCGACUGUAACUCCCAGCAUCAGAUUGAACUAACAAUGAAAGUGUUUCUAAUGAUAUAAAAUAUACUUACGAUCAAAGUGUUUCCACUAACCGUUAGAUUGAACCUGCUGGAGUCAACCAACCAGAAUAACACGCAGGAAAUUUAUUUUAAAAUUUUUGUUUCUUACGUUGCCCGGGCAUGAAUAUCAACUUAUUUUCUGAGAAACCAAACUACAUAAGAACAACAACGAGCAUAUAUAUAUACAUGAUCUUUUGAGGAAAAAGAUGUGGAUCCAAAAACUAAUCGCAAGAUCCUGUAGCUAGCCGUCUCAUAUAUCUACCUAAAAACAUGACCGAUCACCAGAAAUCUGGGAAUAACAUUUUAGUUUCCUGAAAAGGUUCUACAAUUCUAUAUCCCCGAUUCCCCGUUACGACCAGUAUUAAAUAAUGCAAAGCAGAGUUUCGUAAUAGCUUCUUAGUUUCUAGAUACUGACAUAGAUUACGACCUAGACAUGAGAUCAGAUCUGAAAAGAACAUAUGAAAUCAUUAGAAAAUGGGUGAGAAAAGCGAAAAUUGGCUAAAACAGCUCCUGCCCCGUAGAUUACUUAACACGAUCUCACAACACUAAAGAAAACGCUGGAUCAAAACCGAACGAAUCAAAUAUUAAGUAGAAAAAAAGCGUCUUCAAAUAUAAUCCUCUGAUUCCAACAAAAAAUACACAAAAUGUGAGCUAAAACAUAGAUCUAAAACCCUAAAAAGAAAAAAAAAAGAUCCAGGAUCGUGGGAAGCUCACCUCUAUCGAGUCACCACCACCUCAGAUCUCGAAGCCAAAGAGAGAGAGGUUAGGAUACAAAAACGAAACCCUCGAAUGGAGAUAUAAAGGAAGAGAGAAUAGAGAGGGAGAGAGAGACAGGGAACAAAUGGGGUAGCCUCGUUCUUUCUUUCGCUUUUGAUUUUUUUUUAAAAUUUUUUUUGAUACCUUCUUCGUAAAUUUUCCCAAAUCUGGAAUUGCCAUAAAUGCUGCUGUGCUUCUCUCCAUAGUCUACUUGCCCUCCUUUCAAAUAAUAGAACAAGUCACGUGCCCUGAAAAAUAAAUUCCUCAAAUCCCAUCUUUUAUCAAUAACCAAACACAAACGCGAAUUCUCUCAACUACAAAUGAUUUUGAAAUAGACCACUCAAACUGUUUCUUCUAUUUCUAUCAAAUAAAAUUGGAAAUUUUGCUAAACCUGACAUUGAUCUGAACACAUUUUUAGCCGACGAAACUGCAGAAUUCAUCAUAGUUAACGGCUAAUAGCUGACAAAAUCGUUAGUUUUUAAUGAAUUUUUCCACAUCAAUUUAGAAAAGUAACUCAAAUCAAAACGAUAAAAAGUUGACGACACAACCAAUAACAAAAUCAAAAUGAUGAAGAGUUUUUAUUCCAAGUAAGAAUUAUUCGUAUCAACCUAUCAUGAACG
rnacentral:lncRNA from 1 species